rnacentral:rRNA from 1 species
CCUACGGGAGGCAGCAGUAGGGAAUCUUGCGCAAUGGGCGAAAGCCUGACGCAGCGACGCCGCGUGAGGGAUGAAGGCCUUCGGGUUGUAAACCUCUUUCAGCAGGGACGAAGCGAAAGUGACGGUACCUGCAGAAGAAGCCCCGGCCAACUACGUGCCAGCAGCCGCGGUAAU